GCCUUCGUGGUGUAACGGUAGCACACUCGGCUCCAGUUCGAGUGGUCCAGGUUCGAGUCUGGCGAGGGCG
rfam:Stegodyphus mimosarum contig119153, whole genome shotgun sequence.